rnacentral:misc_RNA from 1 species
AACGCACAUUGCGCCCGCCAGCACUCUGGCGGGCAUGCCUGUUCGAGCGUCAUUUCAACCCUCAAGCCCCCCCGGGGGCUUGGUGUUGGGGACCGGCCCCGCCCCGCCGCGGGUCGCCGCCCCCCAAAUCCAGUGGCGGUCCUGCCGCGCCCUCCUCUGCGUAGUAGCUUUUGAAACCUCGCACCGGAGCGCGGCUCGGCCACGCCGUUAAACCCCAACCUCUGAAAGUUUGACCUCGGAUCAGGUAGGAAUACCCGCUGAACUUAA